rnacentral:snoRNA from 1 species
AAAGUUGAUGAGGAUGAUAUGAUCUUGCAGGUUCUUGCUGGAUUGGAUAGUGACUUCAACCCUUCUGUUUCUGCAAUUUCUGCAUUAACU